rnacentral:rRNA from 1 species
UACGAAGGGGGCUAGCGUUGCUCGGAAUCACUGGGCGUAAAGGGUGACGUAGGCGGGUCUUUAAGUCAGGGGUGAAUCCUGGAGCUCAACUCCAGAACUGCCUUUGAUACUGAGGAUCUUGAGUUCGGGAGAGGUGAGUGGAACUGCGAGUGUAGAGGUGAAAUUCGUAGAUAUUCGCAAGAACACCAGUGGCGAAGGCGGCUCACUGGCCCGAUACUGACGCUGAGGCACGAAAGCGUGGGGAGCAAACAGG